rnacentral:rRNA from 1 species
GACGAACGCUGGCGGCGCGCCUAACACAUGCAAGUCGAACGAGCGAUAGAGAGCUUGCUUUCUCGAGCGAGUGGCGAACGGGUGAGUAACGCGUGAGGAACCUGCCUCAAAGAGGGGGACAACAGUUGGAAACGACUGCUAAUACCGCAUAAGCCCACGGCUCGGCAUCGAGCAGGGGGAAAAGGAGCAAUCCGCUUUGAGAUGGCCUCGCGUCCGAUUAGCUAGUUGGUGAGGUAACGGCCCACCAAGGCAACGAUCGGUAGCCGGACUGAGAGGUUGAACGGCCACAUUGGGACUGAGACACGGCCCAGACUCCUACGGGAGGCAGCAGUGGGGAAUAUUGCACAAUGGGGGAAACCCUGAUGCAGCGACGCCGCGUGGAGGAAGAAGGUCUUCGGAUUGUAAACUCCUGUUGUUGGGGAAGAUAAUGACGGUACCCAACAAGGAAGUGACGGCUAACUACGUG